GCACGACCGGGAAGUAGGAUUAACAUGC
rnacentral:sRNA from 1 species